rfam:Oryza sativa Japonica Group DNA, chromosome 1, cultivar: Nipponbare, complete sequence.
AAAAAAAUAAACCGUAGGUUUUCGUACCAAUGUUUGACUGUCCAUCUUAUAUGAAAUUUUUUAAUAAUUAGUAUUUUUAUUGUUGUUAGAUGAUAAAAUAUGAUUAAUACUUUAUGCGUAACUUAUCUUUUUAAUUUUUUUCAUAAUUUUUUUAAAUAAGACGGACGGUCAAACGUUGGAUAUGGAAACCAAGGUUUGUCUUUUUU